UGGGGAAUAUUGGACAAUGGGCGAAAGCCUGAUCCAGCAAUGCCGCGUGUGUGAAGAAGGCCUGCGGGUUGUAAAGCACUUUCAGUGGGGACCAAAAAGCGUGACCUAACACGUCUCGCCUUGAGUUAACCCAUAGAAGAAGCACCGGCUAACUCUGUGCCAGCAGCCGCGGUAAUACAGAGGGUGCAAGCGUUAAUCGGAAUUACUGGGCGUAAAGCGCACGCAGGCGGCGUUCCAAGUCGGAUGUGAAAGCCCCGGGCUUAACCUGGGAAUCGCAUUCGAAACUAGUUCGCUAGAGUGUGGUAGAGGGAAGUGGAAUUCCAGGUGUAGCGGUGAAAUGCGUAGAUAUCUGGAGGAACAUCAGUGGCGAAGGCGACUUCCUGGACCAACACUGACGCUCAGGUGCGAAAGCGUGGGGAGCAAA
rnacentral:rRNA from 1 species